GAUGAACGCUGGCGGCGUGCCUAAUACAUGCAAGUCGAGCGAACGGACGAGAAGCUUGCUUCUCUGAUGUUAGCGGCGGACGGGUGAGUAACACGUGGAUAACCUACCUAUAAGACGGGGAUAACUUCGGGAAACCGUAGCUAAUACCGGAUAAUAUUUUGAACCGCAUGGUUCAAAAGUGAAAGACGGUCUUGCUGUCACUUAUAGAUGGAUCCGCGCUGCAUUAGCUAGUUGGUAAGGUAACGGCUUACCAAGGCAACGAUGCAUAGCCGACCUGAGAGGGUGAUCGGCCACACUGGAACUGAGACACGGUCCAGACUCCUACGGGAGGCAGCAGUAGGGAAUCUUCCGCAAUGGGCGAAAGCCUGACGGAGCAACGCCGCGUGAGUGAUGAAGGUCUUCGGAUCGUAAAACUCUGUUAUUAGGGAAGAACAUAUGUGUAAGUAACUGUGCACAUCUUGACGGUACCUAAUCAGAAAGCCACGGCUAACUACGUG
rnacentral:rRNA from 1 species